rnacentral:rRNA from 1 species
AACGAACGCUGGCGGCAUGCCUAACACAUGCAAGUCGAACGAGACCUUCGGGUCUAGUGGCGCACGGGUGCGUAACACGUGGGAACCUGCCCUUAGGUUCGGAAUAACUCCCCGAAAGGGGUGCUAAUACCGGAUAAUGUCUUCGGACCAAAGAUUUAUCGCCUUUGGAUGGGCCCGCGUUGGAUUAGCUAGUUGGUAGGGUAAAAGCCUACCAAGGGGACGAUCCAUAGCUGGUCUGAGAGGAUGACCAGCCACACUGGGACUGAGACACGGCCCAGACUCCUACGGGAGGCAGCAGUGGGGAAUAUUGGACGAUGGGCGAAAGCCUGAUCCAGCAAUGCCGCGUGAGAGAUGAAGGCCUUAGGGUUGUAAAGCUCUUUUACCCGGGAUGAUAAUGACAGUACCGGGAGAAUAAGCUCCGGCUAACUCCGUG